rnacentral:rRNA from 1 species
AGUGAACGCUGGCGGUAGGCCUAACACAUGCAAGUCGAACGGCAGCACAGUAAGAGCUUGCUCUUACGGGUGGCGAGUGGCGGACGGGUGAGGAAUACAUCGGAAUCUACUUUUUCGUGGGGGAUAACGUAGGGAAACUUACGCUAAUACCGCAUACGAACUACGGGUGAAAGCAGGGGAUCUUCGGACCUUGCGCGAUUGAAUGAGCCGAUGUCGGAUUAGCUAGUUGGCGGGGUAAAGGCCCACCAAGGCGACGAUCCGUAGCUGGUCUGAGAGGAUGAUCAGCCACACUGGAACUGAGACACGGUCCAGACUCCUACGGGAGGCAGCAGUGGGGAAUAUUGGACAAUGGGCGCAAGCCUGAUCCAGCCAUACCGCGUGGGUGAAGAAGGCCUUCGGGUUGUAAAGCCCUUUUGUUGGGGAAGAAAAGCAGCAGGUUAAGACCCCGCUGUUCUGACGGUACCCAAAGAAUAAGCACCGGCUAACUUCGUG